rnacentral:rRNA from 1 species
GACGAACGCUGGCGGCGUGCUUAACACAUGCAAGUCGAACGCUGAAGCUCAGCUUUUGUUGGGUGGAUGAGUGGCGAACGGGUGAGUAACACGUGAGUAACCUGCCCCCUUCUUUGGGAUAACGCCCGGAAACGGGUGCUAAUACUGGAUAUUCACUGGUCUUCGCAUGGGGGUUGGUGGAAAGGGUUUUUCUGGUGGGGGAUGGGCUCGCGGCCUAUCAGCUUGUUGGUGGGGUGAUGGCCUACCAAGGCUUUGACGGGUAGCCGGCCUGAGAGGGUGACCGGGCACAGUGGGACUGAGGUACCGCCCCGAAUGCUAAGGGGGGGAGCCGGUGGGGAGAUUGGCCAAUGGGGGACAGGCCGAAGCCGGCGCGGCGCGGGGGGGAUGGAGGCCUUCGGGUUGUGAACCUCUUUCGCUCAUGGUCAAGCCGCAACAAUGGUUGUGGUGAGGGUAGUGGGUAAAGAAGCGCCGGCUAACUACGUG